UGAGCUACGGCAGCUCGCUGGUCUCCAAAACCAUGCGACGUGGGUUCGACUCCUACCAGGUUUGCCA
rnacentral:tRNA from 1 species